rnacentral:misc_RNA from 1 species
GAUGAAGAACGUAGCAAAAUGCGAUACUUGGUGUGAAUUGCAGAAUCCCGUGAACCAUCGAGUUUUUGAACGCAAGUUGCGCCCGAAGCCAUUCGGCCGAGGGCACGUCUGCCUGGGCGUCACGCAUCGCGUCGCCCCUGACAAUGCCUCCCCAACGGGAGAGCUUUGUGUUGGGGGCGGAGAUUGGCCUCCGGUGCUUGUGGCGCUGUUGGCCUAAAAUGAGUCCUCUUCGGCAGACGCACGACUAGUGGUGGUUGUCAAGGCCUUCGUUUCUUGUCGUGCGUCACGUGUCGCUAGGAGUGUCUUGCAAAGACCCUACGCGUCGUCCCCUGACGAUGCUUCGACCGCGACCCCAGGUCAGGCGGGACUACCCGCUGAGUUUAAGCAUAUCAAUAAGCGGAGGA